UACGUAGGGGGCAAGCGUUGUCCGGAAUCAUUGGGCGUAAAGCGCGUGUAGGCGGCCUUGUAAGUCCGUUCUGAAAGCCCGGGGCUCAACCCCGGGAGGCGGAUGGAUACUGCAGGGCUCGAGUACGGAAGAGGCGAGUGGAAUUCCCGGUGUAGCGGUGAAAUGCGCAGAUAUCGGGAGGAACACCAAUGGCGAAGGCAGCUCGCUGGGACGUUACUGACGCUGAGGAGCGAAAGCAUGGGGAGCGAACAGG
rnacentral:rRNA from 1 species